CACGUAGGGCGCAAGCGUUGUCCGGAAUUAUUGGGCGUAAAGAGCUCGUAGGUGGUUUGUUACGUCUGCUGUGAAAACCUAGGGCUUAACCCUGGGCUUGCAGUGGAUACGGGCAGACUAGAGGUAGGUAGGGGAGAAUGGAAUUCCUGGUGUAGCGGUGAAAUGCGCAGAUAUCAGGAGGAACACCGGUGGCGAAGGCGGUUCUCUGGGCCGAUACUGACGCUGAGGUGCGAAAGCGUGGGGAGCAAACAGG
rnacentral:rRNA from 1 species